rnacentral:rRNA from 1 species
AACGAACGCUGGCGGCGUGGAUAAGACAUGCAAGUGGGACGCUGGCUGCCGGGUAGCAAUAUUCGGCAGUUGGAGUCGCGUAAGGGUGCGUAACACGUGGGUAAUCUGCCGCGAAGACUGGAAUAACUUGCUGAAAGGCGAGCUAAUACCGGAUGUGGUUGCUGAAUGGCAUCGUUUGGCAGCCAAAGUUGGGGACCGUAAGGCCUGACACUUCGCGAUGAGCCCGCGGCCUAUCAGCUAGUUGGUGAGGUAACGGCCCACCAAGGCAAAGACGGGUAGCUGGUCUGAGAGGACGACCAGCCACACUGGAACUGAGACACGGUCCAGACACCUACGGGAGGCAG